rnacentral:rRNA from 1 species
UUUCCGGUUGAUCCUGCCGCCGGACACUGCUAUCAGGUUUCGGCUAAGCCAUGCGAGUCUAGGGAUCGCAAGAUACCGGCAUACUGCUCAGUAACACGCGGAUAAUCUGCCCCCAGGUGAAGAAUACCCUCGGGAAACUGAGGCUAAUACUUCAUAAUCACUAUAUGCUGGAAUGCUUUGGUGAUGAAAGAAUUUCGCCUGAGGAUGAGUCUGCGGCCUAUCAGGUCGUAUGUGGUGUAAUGGACCACAUAGCCUAAGACGGGUACGGGCCUUGAAAGAGGGAGCCCGGAGAUGGACUCUGAGACAUUAGUCCAGGCUCUACGGGGCGCAGCAGGCGCGAAAACUGUGCAAUGCGCGAAAGCGCGACACGGGAAGCCUGAGUGCCUUAACACAGUUAAGGCUUUUUUCAAGCCUAAAAAGCUUGAGGAAUAAGAGCUGGGUAAGACGGGUGCCAGCCGCCGCGGUAACACCCGCAGCUCGAGUGGUGGUCACUUUUAUUGAGCCUAAAGCGUUUGUAGCCGGAUCCGUAAAUCUCCAGGAAAAUUCCUUCGCUCAACGAAGGACCUUCUGGAGAGACUGCGGAUCUAGGGACCGGGUGAGGUUGAAUGUACUUCUGGGGUAGGGGUAAAAUCCAGUAAUCCUGGAAGGACGACCGGUGGCGAAGGCGUUCAACUAGAACGGAUCCGACGGUGAGGAACGAGGGCUAGGGGAGCAAACCGGAUUAGAUACCCGGGUAGUCCUAGCUGUAAACACUGCCCACUUGAUGUUGCAUCUCCGUGUAGGGGGUGCAGUGUCGUAGCGAAGGUGUUAAGUGGGCCGCUUGGGGAGUAUGGUCGCAAGGCUGAAACUUAAAGGAAUUGGCGGGGGAGCACCACAACGGGAGGAGCGUGCGGUUUAAUUGGAUUCAACGCCGGA